CAAGAACAACUAAAAAAAAAAAGGAAAGAAAGGCUCUCGGCCAAAUUAAUUUGAGCCGAGAAUUGAGAAGUUGAAGAAGAAAAUUGGAGAUUUCAAAUUGUUGUAUACAUUUAAGGGUUCCAACGUGAAUUGAUUCUCGGAGUCGAGUUGAUUAAGGUACAGAUAGUCGGUUUGGCGACCCCUCAGCAUAGGACUACUACUCAGCUAUUUUGGAGAGCUCCGUUGUUCCGGAGUCUAGACUUUUAGUACAGAUCUUAUGAUAUAUAUAUAUAUAUAUAUAUAUAUAUAUAUAUAUAUAUAUAUAUAUAUAUAUAUGUUAUCCAGGGGUACGACGGGGCCCUGUCCCGUCAUAUUUCGCUAUUCGUACUCUUAGAGGUCUGUAGACAUAUGUGUGAGUUGUGUAUGGGUUCUGUUCAGCUAUGUCUAUACGAUUUGCUGUGGUAUGAUGUUCGUCUAUAGUGGCAGCCUUGUUGGCUUGCAUAUGAUAUUGAUAUGUGAUGGCAGCCUUGUCGGCUUGCGUAUUAUUUCAUGAUAUGAUCAGUUGUGACUCCUCAGGAGACAGUGUAUCUGAAUAUACAUAUAUGAUGACGCUAAGAA